CUUCGCUAUUCUUUGCCAGCUCACAGUUGACAUAGCCAAAACACCCACCACUCACCAACUGCCAAGUCCGCGGCCGCGCCAUUCCCAAGCACCCAUGGACGCACCACCACCGCUACCAGGCAAAUCCGGCAGCAGCAGCACACUCCUCGGCCGCCUAAUAAGCGUAGACGCCUCCAUCUCCCAUCACCUCCACACCGUAACCCGACCGCUCCUCCCCCACUCCCUCCUCCUCCUCUUCGAGCUCUCCGCCGACUUCCGCCUCUUCUUCCCGAUCUCCCUUUCCCUCCUCCUCAGCCCCACUCUGCUCCGCCCCUUCCUCCCCCCUCUCCUCCUCGGCCUCAUUCUCGACCUCGCUUUCGUUGGCCUCGUCAAACUUAUCUUCCGCCGCCCCCGCCCUCCACACAACAACGCCUCCACCAUGAAGGUCGCCGUAUCCGUCGACCACUUCUCCUUCCCCAGCGGCCAUGCCUCCCGCGUCUGCUUCGUCGCCUCCCUCGCCCACCUCUCCGCCGCUGCUCUGCCGGAUUAUAAGGCCCUGAAUUAUGCUCUCCUUCUUGUUUUGGUCUGGGCGGUGUUCACAUCCGUCUCCAGGGUUCUUCUCGGCCGCCACUUCCUUUCCGAUGUCAUCGCCGGGGCGUGUUUGGGUGUUCUCGAAGCUCUCUUUGCUUUCCACUUCCUCAGGUUUUAGCGUUUCAGGAGACCUUAAACAGGAGCAGGCAAUCAUUGAAGCCCUGGUGAGAGCAUGUGUCAAAGGCUAGACAGGCUUUAAGUUGGGUGAGGCAAACUUUUCUGGAAUACAGAAAAGUUUUCCUUUAAUUUGAACUUUAAUCCAGUCUUUAGUGGGCUUGAGCCUUCCCCCUCAUUCUCAUUCUCAGAUUGAUUGAUUGAUUGAACAUCAUAAUUAGAGGCAAUGUUAUAUAAUGGGAGGAAGUAUUUUCUAUACCAACAACAAAAUACCAUGAUUCCUCUUGGGUUUGGCCUUUGUCUAUCGUUGUAGAUGAGAUAAGCUCACAUGUCAACAUUUUAUUGUCGCCAAGUUUUAAGGCUUCGUCCUCUUGUUUAUGUAGGGAGAAAUUCCUCGUUAAUUAAUUUCAGAGAAAACGUUCAUGUACUAAACUUGAUGCAGAAAAAAAAAGAAGAGAAAUUGAUACAUUGAUAAUGGACUAUGGCAUGGGUAAAAACCAAAGAAAAUGCUUGGUAUACAGUUUAGCCUCGAAGAAUGCUUUGGUCAAAUUGUGUACAAGGACAAUUUCUGAGGUGGCACGCCUGCUAUAGAUAAUGAUGAACCCAAAUGUUCUACAGUCUACAUACAGACAGCCUGGGAGCGCAGCCCCAUAAAGGUGAUUGAAACAUGUGACACUGGGCAUGAUAAAUUCUAAACAGAUUUUGGGCAGGUGCUCAUCAGCACAGAGUUUGAUGCCUUUCUGACUGAAAAGCUUGGAUUGUGAAAUUGUGAUCGCAGAGGGAUGGGAAAUUGUUUUACAUGGAUUUCCAUUUUAUCGAUGUGCGUACCCAGUUCAGAACUGGCACAAGCAGAGGACCUGGGCAGACGGAUUCGGAGUCUGAAGAAAGACUGACAACAUUUCAAGUAGGAACGUUGGAAGAGUUAGAUGAUCAUGCAGACAGUGCCGCAUGACUUGCAGCUCUGUCAUCAUCUUAGGCUCACUCUGUUUACUUGUAGAGAGAGAGAGAGAGAGAGAGGUACUUUUAGGUUAAGAUCUUAAACUAACGUUGUUUUUAGUGUCUCAACCAUAAUAAAACAUAGGCUACGUUUGUCAU